UUUUUAUUUUUACCUUCUGCUUUGUAAUCGUUUCCUUCCCUCCUUCCCAGCUACUGCGCUAAACUGGUAAAUUGGUGCAAUUCUUUCGAGAACCUCCAAUUCCGAGCUUCAACAAGCUUUUUCCCACCUCAACUUAGCCAUUAAAUCAGUGAAAAGCCUCUUUCAAAACGUUAAUUUCAGUCAUCUUCAACUUAGCCCUGGUUUCUUUUUGGAUCCAGAACCCAAAAACCCUAGCUCCCAUGGCAUCGAGGAAGAAGCAGUCCGAGGGAAUCGCUUUGCUGUCCAUGUACAACGACGAGGAGGAAGACGAUGAAAUGGAGGAUUUGGAGGAAGGCGGAGAAGAGGAAGGGCAGCGAGAACAGGGGGAGAACGACGAUUACGUGGACCCAAGAAGCGCGGAGGAUGCUUCAAUGGUAGAUGCGGAUAGAAUGGUUUCUGGUGAUUCUGGUAACGAUGAUAGCACGCCGCCAGUCGUUGAAGAUGGGAAUUUGUCACCGGAUAAGGGCUUCGGGCCUUCCACGCCGCAACAGCCGCAGGUUUCUUCUAAGUCUCCGCCUUCACCACGACUGCCGCAGCAACAAUCUGCUGCUUCUUUGGAUAGUUUGAGAAGCAGAAGAGGAAUUGUGGAUUAUGGUCAUGAUGAAGCUGCAAUGUCUCCCGAGCCCGAGGAGGGGGAAAUAGAAGGAAGUGGUCGUGUCAGGGUUGGUGUGCAUCUUCAAUCAGCUAAUGGUGAUUUUCAUGAUAAAACACCUCCUGGAACAGUUCAGGUUCUAACUUCUAGCAGUCAAGACACUCAAUUGUUUGAUCCAUCACAAUCUGAUACAGUGAACAAUGAUGUGCAUGAUUCAGAGGGUGGAGAUGCUACUGGGGCUCUAUUAGAAGAACAAAAAGAUGUUGAUCCACUAGAUAAGUUUCUUCCACCACCACCAAAAGCCAAAUGCUCAGAGGAGCUUCAGAGGAAAAUUAAUAAGUUUCUUGAUUAUAAGAAAGCUGGCAAAAGCUUCAAUGCAGAAGUACGCAAUAGAAAGGACUAUAGGAACCCUGACUUCCUGUUGCAUGCCGUGAGGUAUCAAGAUAUUGAUCAAAUAGGAUCUUGCUUCAGAAAAGAUGUAUUCGACCCUCACGGAUAUGACAAAAGCGACUAUUACGAAGAAAUAGAGGCUGAUAUGAGGCGUGAGAUGGAUAGGAAGGAACAAGAAAGGAAAAAGAAUCAAAAAGUUGAUUUUAUUUCAGGAGGGUCCCAAGCUGGAAUAGUUGCCACUGCACCCAAAAUUAAUGUGCCUAUUCCAGGUGUUUCGGCAAUGGCUGCUAGUGCUCUGCAUUCUUUACCACCAAGUGCUGAUUCUGUUGCCAGGGAUAGUAGGCAGAAUAAGAAGUCUAAGUGGGAUAAGGUUGAUGGUGAUAGAAGAAAUGCUCUUCCCUCUAUAGUGCAGGAUUCUUUAUCUGCCGGAGCUCAUGCAACUCUGUUAUCUGCUGCUAACGCUGGUGCAGGAUAUAUGGCUUUUGUAAGGAAAUUAACAGAAAUAUGGAGACUCACUGAAUAAGGCUAAUCUCCCUGAGGUAUUAUGAUACAAUACUGAGGAGAAUUCUGUACUUAACAUUACUUGUAAAGCCUCCCAGUGCUUACGAUUCACAACUUGGCCAUUUUAGUUCAUAUAUCAAACUACCUGAAGCUUGUUUGCAAGUUUCAGGCCCAUGGUAGGAAAGGCAACAAAGACGAAGAGAAGCAGAAGAGAAAAGAUCUAGUGAAAGGAAGUUGGAGAGAAGAUCUUAGCCAUAUUUUGUAAUCCUAAUAAGAGGAUAAUAAGUAUACAGUUUUGAUAUCUGAAAUGGAUAAAGUGGCCACUUCCCGGGUAUUGAAUUUUCCCCACUUAAGUUAGAGAUGAUGCUGUAGGUUUGUAAUUUCGUUAUCAUGCAUUAUGUAAAUGGGUAAGGGAGAAAGUUUGUCUCGCAUCAUAGCUGAUAUUGAUUACUAAUCCAAUUGUUGUUCAAUUCACUUCCAUUUAAAAUUAUACUGCAUUUUAUUGCGGUGGUCA